GAUGAACGCUGGCGGCGUGCCUAACACAUGCAAGUCGAGCGGGAUUUUCCGGAUUGAAGCUUCGGUAGAUUGAAGGGAAUGAGAGCGGCGGACGGGUGAGUAACGCGUAGGCAACCUGCCCUUUGCAGAGGGAUAGCCAUUGGAAACGAUGAUUAAAACCUCAUAAUGCCACGAAGUGACAUCGCUUUGUGGCCAAAGAUUUAUCGGCAAAGGAUGGGCCUGCGUCUGAUUAGCUGGUUGGUGAGGUAACGGCUCACCAAGGCGACGAUCAGUAGCCGACCUGAGAGGGUGAUCGGCCACAUUGGAACUGAGACACGGUCCAAACUCCUACGGGAGGCAGCAGUGGGGAAUAUUGCACAAUGGGCGAAAGCCUGAUGCAGCAACGCCGCGUGAGCGAAGAAGGCCUC
rnacentral:rRNA from 1 species